GAUGAACGCUGGCGGCGUGCCCAAUACAUGCAAGUCGAGCGAACAGACGAGAGUGCUUGCACUCUCUGACGUUAGCGGCGGACGGGUGAGUAACACGUGGGUAACCUACCUAUAAGACUGGGAUAACUUCGGGAAACCGUAGCUAAUACCGGAUAAUAUUUAGCUUCGCAUGAAGCAAUAGUGAAAGACGGUUCUGCUGUCACUUAUAGAUGGACCCGCGGUGUAUUAGCUAGUUGGUGAGGUAACGGCUCACCAAGGCAACGAUACAUAGCCGACCUGAGAGGGUGAUCGGCCACACUGGGACUGAGACACGGCCCAGACUCCUACGGGAGGCAGCAGUAGGGAAUCUUCCGCAAUGGACGAAAGUCUGACGGAGCAAUGCCGCGUGAGUGAAGAAGGUUUUCGGAUCGUAAAACUCUGUUGUAAGGGAAGAACAAGUACGUUAGUAACUGAACGUACAUUGACGGUACCUUACCAGAAAGCCACGGCUAACUACGUG
rnacentral:rRNA from 1 species